rnacentral:tRNA from 2 species
GCGAAAAUAGCUCAGCGGUAGAGCAUCACCUUGCCAAGGUGAGGGUCGCGGGUUCGAUCCCCGUUUUUCGCU